rnacentral:lncRNA from 1 species
AAGGAGCCAUAAAUGUGGUGCUCUCUCCCACCCUCAAGCCAGCUGUAGGAAUGGGGCCCUGACAUCUAAGCCACUUCAGAAAGUAUCAUCUCAGAGGUAAGGUCAGCAUAGUAUCAGCAUGCCUAUGUCCAUUCAAGCCUCCAUUAGAGCUGGAUGUGGCAAUUGUUUUAGCUUUUGCUCUAUUAAUAGGUGUGGUCUUGGCUGGACUAAUAUUAGGACAUGGUCAGUUUACCAGUAGGCAAUUUGACACCUACAUUUUAUGAUUUCUUAGCAAGUAUUUUUUUUUUUUUGGGAAGAAGAAGAACUAGGGUGCAUGGAUGCACUGUUCACUAUUACCCAUGUAAGAGUUUUUACCAACUCAAGUCAUUUGGCACCCUCCCUUGGCAUGAUACUGUUGUCUUACCUCACUUGUACUUGCCUACCAGCAUGUGUUUUAGGAAACAGCUUGUGCCCUUAAUACUUCACUUGCCCGACCCUCAUACCCAGUUAGAAGUCUCUAAUCUUUUUUCUUUUGUAAGACAAAAGAUGAUAAGCACAUCAAAAGUCUGAAAUCAUUUAUUUGAAUACUCAACCUUCUAACCUCUUCAAUUAAUGGCAUUCAGAAUAGGGAGUUCAAGUCAAGGACUCCUUUGUAACGACAUUGUUAGAGAAAAUAUUCGAGAACUUGAACAUUACAUGAAGAUAACAAUGCUUGAGCAAUAUAACUACAUUGCAUCCCAUGACUCAUACUUGGUCUACUUAGCAGGUCAUUGGAGUCUUACUCAUACCAUAGCAAAAUUUGUGCUGGUCAUGAAAAGAACAAGAGGAGAAGUGAUUGGUGUGAGGGGCCGAAAAUUAAAAAGCGAAAGUAUAAAGCAGACUUCUUUUCAGCCUUAGCAGCAAUGACCUGAAGACAACUUUGCAUUGAAGACUCUGUCCUCUUCACAGGCUUCUUUAAUCACACAAAAUGGAGGGGAAUGUGGGAGCAUGCACAAAUCCAUUUGAACUUCCAAGAGAAUCCCAUCACAUUGAAUGAUGUGAAGGCUACCGGAUACUGGCGAAGACCGUGGUGUUGGGCAUUUCAGGCAUGGUUAUUAUUGUGGUUUGUUUUAAUGCCCCUUCUUGCUUGGCUUUACCAUCCCCUGUCCAACCACUGCUUUCCCUGUUGCCUAGCGGUGGGAAAUAGGUGAUGACUAAAACAUUUGGAAUUCGGGGGAAAAAAAAAUCCAGGGAAUCGACAAAAUUUUAAUAUUCAUAUGACAAGU